UGGUGCAUAAGAAAAUGGGGUGGACUCGUCAACCAUAGAGCACAGCAGCUUGAGGAGGACAUACAACAUCAAAGGUCGUUAAAAAAUGGAAGAGGAAACCAAUCAACUGCACUUUAACUUGUAAAAUAGGCAUUUAAGGAAUUCCUCCAACCAAUAUAGCUAUUUACAUCGGAACAAGAACAGGCUAUUCAGCAUGUUCAAGCUGAAAAUAAGAGACCAUUCAAUUACUUUAUCUUCAGUUGCACAGACACUGGAGGAGGUUAUUCAACCUCUUUCCAUCUGUGACACACGAGUGGGAAGGCCCUUUUAACCAUGUAAGAGAGAGAAAGAGAGAGGAACUAUUACUUGUUGCAUCCUUUCUGAAAUGUACAGGACGCUGGAAACCUAACACAUUUUCUCAACCGGAAGACCGUUGAUAUCUACAGUAAAUCAAGUGCAUUGUAAGCUGGUAAUCUUAUCACUUGAAAAGCUAAUUUUUCUUCCUUCGCUGAAGGACAGGAAUGAGUCACAUGGGAUUUCAACCAUCAAUUGGCAAUGAUUUGAAGGUUAUAUGUAGAUUCUUAAUUCCAGACUUUUAAGAAGAAAUUGGAAGCAGAUCCCACCAUCUGACGUAGCGGGACUCGAACGUUGGCCACCAGAACAUUAGUUCAAUUCGAGUGGUGAUAAUACUACCAGGCCACUGCCUCCCGUAAAGCGUGCGACGCUGUUAUCAUUUCAGUUGAUCUUACUUCAAACUAAUCCAGCUCACCAUGCACCUGCCACUAACAGCAGCCAUGGAGAACUCCACCGUUUGUCGUGUGUCUUAAGGUGUUUCAUCUUUGACCGAAUGCAGCACAAAACUUCAGGUUGUGGAAUUGAGGAAUUGGACAUGGAUGUCAAAUACUGGCGGUAGAGAGGUGACGGCUGUAUGGAAGUAAGUGCACAAUCCUUCAUAACGAUUGAAACGUUAUUAAGAAGAAUUGAUAACCUUUGCACUAAGUUGGGGAAACCCCUUGUGCCAUCUACCAACUUCCAGAACCGGUGCCUAUAAUCACGCUCAGAACAUUCAAUGAAAAUCAUAAACUCGAUCGAAUUGAUAUCUCAAAACUGCAAGGUGGAAUGAUGCAGAACAUCUUAGUUACUGACCUCAUCCGCCAUGCCAUUACAAACGUGGGAGUGUACUGUAUCUUUUUGAUGUGAAAUUGCAGACUAUCCGCCAGACUCCCUCCGCCGUUUGCAGAAAUCCUCAGGAUAAAUUAGAACUGAACUGCGCUGUGGAGGGGAGCACCGAUAGCAUCUCCAUGUACUGGUACAGGCAAUAUCCAGGGAAGGAACUGCAGUUGAUGUUUUAUUCCCUAACCACAGAAAGAACAUGAACUUGCAAACAAUCUCCAGACUCCCACCGCUGUCUCCAGACUUCCUCGGGGUAAAUUAGAACCGAAAUGCACUGUGGAGGGAAAUACCGUAUAAUCAAUCUGAACUGGUACAGACAAUAUCCAAGGAAGGAACUGCAGUUGCUAUUUUAUUCUGUAGUCACAGAAAGCGUGAUUUCAGAUCAGCCGGCGGUCGGUUUCACAAUGAAGCGACCAAGUAAAUACCAAUCCAUUCUGUCGUCCUUCAGCUUGUU